AGGGCCCGUGCGAUGGGAAACGUGCCGUUGGCAGCCCGCCACCCCUCCAUCGUGACCUCAGUCUGCCAAACAGGGAAAUUACUCCAGGAUUUGAAUCAUCACAAGAGAUUCACCAGAGGAUUUUAUACACUUGGGCUGUGGCAGCAGACUAAUUACAUCACAGCACUAGAGUCUUCACCAGCUCCGGAAAAGAAUAUUUUUAAUCACUGCAGUCGCUUAGGAUAACAGGGUUAUCUUUGGAAAUUCCUGCCCUCUCGUGUCCAGUAUAGAGAACUACUUUUGUGUUCUCUAAGGCUGUGAAUGUUAGCGGACAACCAGGAGCAUUUUAGGGCCUCAGCAGAAAGGAGACUGAACCAGUUCCAUGAAAACAUUCUCCUAUCUAAUAAAUCAAAAAAUCAUGACUGGCUUCCAUCAGUUCAGGAGUCUCCACACAAAUGUUUUGACAGUGGAACAAGAGACAGUCAAGGACAGUUUUAUCAGUGACAUCUACCUUCCAAUAGCAAAAACCAUCAACCGCACGAGCUGAGAUACUGGCUGGGUGGAUUUCAGCAAAUUUCCAAGGGCACAUGACAUGUGGGCACAAAAGCCGGGAUUUCACACCAGGGGAUAAAGUAUAUCAGAAAUGAAGGCUGGGCAAGACAGGAAUGUUCCCCAAAUGACACUGCUUAAGAGAACUUUGAGGAGAACUGAGGGCAAGAUACAAGCCAUGGUUCUAUACAGAUAAGUCUACGGAAGCUGCAGAAAUAACAUUCCAGAUCCCCAGGAAUCCACCCACCCACCCCUCCGACUUUGGCCGAACACCAUGGCUGGCUGCCGUGUGAAGAAUGGACUGUAGGGGGUGCCAGAGUGGCUGUGGGAAACAUCCCCUAGAAAUCUAGAAUUCAAAGCACUUACUUUGAGUGAUAUAUCCACAAGAAAGAGCCUUCUGUGCUAAAAGCAAAAAAGAAAUAAAAACAUAUCAUGUUACUUUUAA
rnacentral:lncRNA from 1 species